UACGGGGGGGGCAAGCGUUGCUCGGAAUUACUGGGCGUAAAGGGCUCGUAGGCGGCCAACUAAGUCCGACGUGAAAUCCCCAGGCUUAACCUGGGAACUGCGUCGGAUACUGGAUGGCUUGAAUUCGGGAGAGGGAUGCAGAAUUCCAGGUGUAGCGGUGAAAUGCGUAGAUAUCUGGAGGAAUACCGGUGGCGAAGGCGGGUCUCUGGGCAACAACUGACGCUGAGGAGCGAAAGCGUGGGGAGCGAACAGG
rnacentral:rRNA from 1 species